AUCCGUGUGGUAUAGUGGUAGCACAGUUCCCUGCCACGGAACAGACUCGGGUUCGAUUCCCGACACGGAUA